UCUUUAAACUCUUAAUUUAAAAGAAAGUAGUUAAAUUCUACUAUUAAGGG
rnacentral:tRNA from 1 species